GACGAACGCUGGCGGCGUGCUUAACACAUGCAAGUCGAACGGUGAAGCCCAGCUUGCUGGGUGGAUCAGUGGCGAACGGGUGAGUAACACGUGAGUAACCUGCCUUUGACUCUGGGAUAAGCCUUGGAAACGGGGUCUAAUACUGGAUACGAGACGCUCGGGCAUCCGAAGUGUCUGGAAAGAUUUAUCGGUCAGAGAUGGACUCGCGGCCUAUCAGCUUGUUGGUGGGGUAACGGCCUACCAAGGCGACGACGGGUAGCCGGCCUGAGAGGGUAACCGGCCACACUGGGACUGAGACACGGCCCAGACUCCUACGGGAGGCAGCAGUGGGGAAUAUUGCACAAUGGGCGCAAGCCUGAUGCAGCAACGCCGCGUGAGGGAUGACGGCCUUCGGGUUGUAAACCUCUUUUAGUAGGGAAGAAGCGAAAGUGACGGUACCUGCAGAAAAAGCACCGGCUAACUACGUGCCAGCAGCCGCCGUAA
rnacentral:rRNA from 1 species